CACUACUAUUAAUCUUGUUUUGUACCGCGAGAGCAGACUUGUAGCUCUAAGCCCAGUGUGCGAAACAAAAAUAUAAAUUCCUAUUCUUACCAUGUGUUAACCACCUACACCUAGAACAACAGAACAACAGAACACUACGAUCCAAGCAUGACCAACAAACCGUCCAAUUACGGUAAUCGCCAACGACACUACGUUUAUCCCUCGGUGGAUGAUAGUUGAAGCACAGAAUGGAUAGUGGAAAAGGGAGAUCGAGCAAUGUCUACCUGUGCGCCGCAGUAGAAGAUCCAACACAUGCUUGUCUAUCGGGGUACUUUCUCAUAUGAACGAUAUAUAUAUAUAUCUGAGAGAGUUCGUCUAUAAAUUAUCGCCACCCAGGUAAAAUUGAGUAGGUCACUCAUUUUUUUAAAGCAGAGAUCACACAGCUUAGAUUUUUGAACGGAGAUUCAGUAGCUAGCGUAUCGUCAAACAGAUAAGACAACUGUUUCGUGUACUCCCGGGAAUAUCUAGUGAUCCUUAGUGACAAAUUGUAGUGGUGCUAUAGUUGGACGAGUGGAUAAAAGGGCAGUGGCACGCUUAGCCGUACAGCCUAACUCCACAUCUUCAAUUUUGCACGGUGUAGCAUUAGGAAUGGCAGAGUAGCCCAAGUUAUUUUGAGAUCGGCCUUUCUCUUCAACAUCCAUAAUCGCAAUGGUGUUAACAUCCAUUGUCCGGUGCUCUGGUGAGGUGAAAUUCCACCAUGGUCAACGAAGUAGUGCUGGAGAUACUGGCGGUUCGUCGGUGGUUGCAUGUCCUUCUGUCCGGACUACUUCAAGCUGCCGUCGUGGGAUACACUAAACACGGACACCACUCAUUAGGAUUAAGUACUAAACACUAGGAGUUAAGUACACAUAUGCGUAAGUAACAUUUAAUAAAUCAUUUCAUUACACAGUUGUGCAUGUAAAAGGUAUAUUUUUGCUUUGUGAUUGAGUGGCUCGUUAUGUCCCUAGUGUUGGGUUCCAUUGUAUUUAUUUCGAACCAGGUUUGGAUACGAGAUUGGUAAGUGGGUCAAUGGGACCAGUAUCAACACAUCCUCUUUCCACCUAUUUUGUCAUCGUCUCAUGCGACUCCCCCCUUCC